rnacentral:rRNA from 1 species
GUCGAACGAACCUUCGGGUUAGUGGCGGACGGGUGAGUAACGCGUGGGAAUCUGCCCUCAGGAGGGGGAUAACGGCUGGAAACGGCCGCUAAUACCCCAUAUGCCGAGAGGUGAAAUGAAUUUCGCCUGAGGAUGAGCCCGCGUCUGAUUAGCUAGUUGGUGUGGUAAUGGCUCACCAAGGCUUCGAUCAGUAGCUGGUCUGAGAGGAUGAUCAGCCACACUGGGACUGAGACACGGCCCAGACUCCUACGGGAGGCAGCAGUGGGGAAUUUUCCGCAAUGGGCGAAAGCCUGACGGAGCAACGCCGCGUGAGGGAUGAAGGCCUCUGGGCUGUAAACCUCUUUUUUCAAGGAAGAAGACCUGACGGUACUUGAAGAAUAAGCCACGGCUAAUUCCGUGCCAGCAGCCGCGGUAAUACGGGAGUGGCAAGCGUUAUCCGGAAUUAUUGGGCGUAAAGCGUCCGCAGGCGGCCCUGAAAGUCUGUCGUUAAAGCGUGGAGCUCAACUCCAUUUAAGCGAUGGAAACUACAGGGCUAGAGUGUGGUAGGGGCAGAGGGAAUUCCCGGUGUAGCGGUGAAAUGCGUAGAUAUCGGGAAGAACACCAGUGGCGAAGGCGCUCUGCUGGGCCAUAACUGACGCUCAUGGACGAAAGCCAGGGGAGCGAAAGGGAUUAGAUACCCCUGUAGUCCUGGCCGUAAACGAUGAACACUAGGUGUCGGGGGAAUCGACCCCCUCGGUGUCGUAGCCAAUGCGUUAAGUGUUCCGCCUGGGGAGUACGCACGCAAGUGUGAAACUCAAAGGAAUUGACGGGGGCCCGCACAAGCGGUGGAGUAUGUGGUUUAAUUCGAUGCAACGCGAAGAACCUUACCAGGGUUUGACAUCCUGCGAAUCCCUUGGAAACGAGGGAGUGCCUUCGGGAGCGCAGAGACAGGUGGUGCAUGGCUGUCGUCAGCUCGUGUCGUGAGAUGUUGGGUUAAGUCCCGCAACGAGCGCAACCCACGUCGUUAGUUGCCAGCAUUCAGUUGGGCACUCUAGCGAGACCGCCGGUGAUAAACCGGAGGAAGGUGUGGAUGACGUCAAGUCAUCGUGCCCCUUACAUCCUGGGCUACACACGUACUACAAUGCUACGGACAAAGGGCAGCAAGCUCGCGAGAGUUAGCAAAUCCCAUAAACCGUGGCUCAGUUCAGAUCGUAGGCUGCAACUCGCCUACGUGAAGGAGGAAUCGCUAGUAAUCGCAGGUCAGCAUACUGCGGUGAAUACGUUCCCGGGCCUUGUACACACCGCCCGUCACACCAUGGAAGUUGGCCACGCCCGAAGUCGUUACUCCAACCC